GAUGAACGCUAGCGGCAGGCCUAAUACAUGCAAGUCGAACGGUAAGGCCCUUUCGGGGGUACACGAGUGGCGGACGGGUGCGUAACGCGUAUGCAACAUGCCUUCCAGCGGGGGAUAUACCAGGGAAACUUGGCGCAAUACCCCAUAGAAAUUACGGGACCGCAUGGUCUUGUGAUUAAAAACUCCGGUGCUGGGAGAUUGGCAUGCGUGACAUUAGCUAGUUGGCGGGGUAACGCCACCAAGGCGACGAUGUCUAGCUGGUCUGAGAGGAUGAUCAGCCACACUGGGACUGAGACACGGCCCAGACUCCUACGGGAGCAGCAGUAGGGAAUAUUGGACAAUGGGGGAACCCUGAUCCAGCCAUGCCGCGUGAGGGAAG
rnacentral:rRNA from 1 species